UCUCUGGUGGUCCAGUGUUUAGGACUCUGCACUGCCACUGCUAUGGCCCGGGGUUCAAUCCCUGGUUGGAGAA
rnacentral:tRNA from 1 species